rnacentral:rRNA from 1 species
UACGUAGGGUGCGAGCGUUGUCCGGAAUUACUGGGCGUAAAGAGCUCGUAGGUGGUUUGUCGCGUUGUCCGUGAAAACUCACAACUCAAUUGUGGGCGUGCGGGCGAUACGGGCAGACUGGAGUACUGCAGGGGAGACUGGAAUUCCUGGUGUAGCGGUGGAAUGCGCAGAUAUCAGGAGGAACACCGGUGGCGAAGGCGGGUCUCUGGGCAGUAACUGACGCUGAGGAGCGAAAGCGUGGGGAGAGAACAGG